AUACGAAGGUCCCAAGCGUUAUUCGGAAUCACUGGGCGUAAAGAGUACGUAGGCGGUUUGGUAAGUCAGGUGUGUAAUCCCGAAGCUCAACUUCGGAACUGCAUCCGAUACUGCCAGACUAGAGUAAUGGAGAGGCAGGUGGAAUUCUCGGUGUAGCAGUGAAAUGCGUGGAUAUCGAGAGGAAGACCAAUGGCGAAGGCAGCCUGCUGGACAUUUGCUGACGCUGGGGUACGAAGGCUAGGGGAGCGAAAGGGAGUAGAUACCCCAGUAGUCC
rnacentral:rRNA from 1 species